CGAACUCUCGAAAUGUUGCGAGCACAAUUAGUAUACCAAAGAUUCGAUGAUCUUACCAAUGUACUUGGUGUUAGUAGUGGUAUUUUUGGCAUCGGUAUAAUUCUGUUGAUAUUAUGAAAACUUUUCACCACCAUGGUGGACUACCAUGAAUACUAGAAAUGUGAAAGAGCAAAUUCAAAUUCACACAAGGCCAAUAUGCACGACUUUUUUAUAUGUAUAUCUUUGGUUAAAAUACAAUAUACAAUAAUUCCAUACGAUUGCAUUUUGCUACAUUGUGUCCAUGUAUAAACGAUCGU